GAUUAACGCUGGCGGCAUGCCUAAUACAUGCAAAUCGAACGAAGCCUUUUGGCUUAGUGGUGAACGGGUGAGUAACACGUAUCCAAUCUACCCUUAAGUUUGGGAUAACUGGUCGAAAGAUUAGCUAAUACCGGAUAAUAACAUUCACUUGCAUGAGUGAAUGUGGAAAGUUGCGUUUGCAACGCUUUUGGAUGAGGGUGCGACGUAUCAGAUAGUUGGUGAGGUAACGGCUCACCAAGUCAUUGACGCGUAGCUGUACUGAGAGGGUGAUCGGCCACACUGGAACUGAGACACGGUCCAG
rnacentral:rRNA from 1 species